rnacentral:rRNA from 1 species
UACAGAGGUCUCGAGCGUUAGGCGGAAUCACUGGGCUUAAAGCGUGUGUAGGCGGCUCGUUAAGUACCUUGUGAAAUCCCACGGCUUAACCGUGGAACUGCUUGGUAUACUGGCGGUCUUGAGCCAGCUAGGGGCUACCGGAACAAAUGGUGGAGCGGUGAAAUGCGUAGAUAUCAUUUGGAACGCCAAUGGUGAAAACAGGUAGCUGGGGCUGUGCUGACGCUGAGACACGAAAGCCAGGGGAGCAAACGGG